rnacentral:rRNA from 1 species
UACGUAGGCAGCGAGCGUUGUUCGGAAUUACUGGGCGUAAAGAGUGUGUAGGCGGUGCUCUAAGUUCGGUGUGAAAUCUCCCGGCUUAACUGGGAGGGUGCGCCGGAAACUGGAGUGCUCGAGCGUGGGAGAGGAAAGCGGAAUUCCUGGUGUAGCGGUGAAAUGCGUAGAUAUCAGGAGGAACACCUGCGGUGUAGACGGCUCUCUGGACCGUAACUGACGCUGAGACACGAAAGCGUGGGUAGCAAACAGG